rnacentral:misc_RNA from 1 species
UAACUUGUUUGUUUUUUCUCGAGAUGCCAACGCAAAGAGACAGAGUAUAGUAGGCUGCCGGCGGGCUGUGCGCCCCGGCGAGGGAAAACCCCCGCCGGGACACCCGCCGAAGCAACGUGCUUGUAGUGAGGUUCACAGGGUGAAGGAGUCUUGCGAGUCCUGUAAUGAUCCCUCCGCUGGUUCACCAACGGAGA